GAUGAACGCUGGCGGCGUGCCUAAUACAUGCAAGUCGAGCGAACGGACGAGAAGCUUGCUUUUCUGAUGUUAGCGGCGGACGGGUGAGUAACACGUGGAUAACCUACCUAUAAGACUGGGAUAACUUCGGGAAACCGGAGCUAAUACCGGAUAAUAUUUUGAACCGCAUGGUUCAAAAGUGAAAGACGGUCUUGCUGUCACUUAUAGAUGGAUCCGUGCUGCAUUAGCUAGUUGGCAAGGUAACGGCUUACCAAGGCAACGAUGCAUAGCCGACCUGAGAGGGUGAUCGGCCACACUGGAACUGAGACACGGUCCAGACUCCUACGGGAGGCAGCAGUAGGGAAUCUUCCGCAAUGGGCGAAAGCCUGACGGAGCAACGCCGCGUGAGUGAUGAAGGUCUUCGGAUCGUAAAACUCUGUUAUUAGGGAAGAACAUAUGUGUAAGUAACUGUGCACAUCUUGACGGUACCUAAUCAGAAAGCCACGGCUAACUACGUG
rnacentral:rRNA from 1 species